rnacentral:rRNA from 1 species
UACGUAGGGGGCAAGCGUUGUCCGGAAUCAUUGGGCGUAAAGAGCGUGUAGGCGGCUCGAUAAGUCUGCUGUGAAAGUCCAGGGCUCAACCCUGGAAUGCCGGUGGAUACUGUCGGGCUAGAGUCCGGAAGGGGCGAGUGGAAUUCCUGGUGUAGCGGUGAAAUGCGCAGAUAUCAGGAGGAACACCAAUGGCGAAGGCAGCUCGCUGGGACGGUACUGACGCUGAGACGCGAAAGCGUGGGGAGCAAACAGG